rnacentral:lncRNA from 1 species
CUGGAAUUGCAGGAGGAUGGAGAGGGAGGGGUCAGGAGAAUGCCCUGCCUGGGUUUCAGAUGUGACCAGCUGGGCAGAUGGAGCUGCCAUCUGGAGGGAGAAUCCCAGCUUCGACAUUGAGAUCUUCCGCAGAGGGAAGCGAGGCUGUCAAGGACAGGUGCCUGUGUACCCGUGCCUCCUGCUCUUCUCUUCCUCCUCAUUCCUUUAUUCUUCCUUCUACCCCUUCCCUACAGUGACCUCUGUCACCACAAGAUCAAGAGGCCAGAGAACCUACUUCCAAUUCAGAGUGUGAAUUCCCAUGAAAAUCCAAUCAUCAAAUUCUAUGGAAAGUAAGGCGUCCUGAGUUCCUCACCUCAUCUUUCACUCCUUGGCAUGGUGCCUCCUCAAGGUUACAGGUAGGACACUUGGCUCAGGUUCCCCUGAAUUCUGUGAACAGAAGAAUUAGAAAUAAACAAACAAUUCCAAAAUAAAACCCAGAUAGUUAUGGGUUCCC